UACGUAGGGUCCGAGCGUUGUCCGGAAUUACUGGGCGUAAAGAGCUCGUAGGUGGUUUGUCACGUUGUUCGUGAAACCCACAGCUCAACUGUGGGCGUGCGAGCGAUACGGGCAGACUAGAGUACUGCAGGGGAGACUGGAAUUCCUGGUGUAGCGGUGGAAUGCGCAGAUAUCAGGAGGACACCGGUGGCGAAAGCGGCCACCUGGACUGCACCUGACGCUGACACGCGAAAGCUAGGGGAGCGAACGGG
rnacentral:rRNA from 1 species